GGGUGCUAUACUGCAGUCGAGCGGACAGAUGGGAGCUUGCUCCCUGAUGUUAGCGGCGGACGGGUGAGUAACACGUGGGUAACCUGCCUGUAAGACUGGGAUAACUCCGGGAAACCGGGGCUAAUACCGGAUGCUUGUUUGAACCGCAUGGUUCAAACAUAAAAGGUGGCUUCGGCUACCACUUACAGAUGGACCCGCGGCGCAUUAGCUAGUUGGUGAGGUAAUGGCUCACCAAGGCAACGAUGCGUAGCCGACCUGAGAGGGUGAUCGGCCACACUGGGACUGAGACACGGCCCAGACUCCUACGGGAGGCAGCAGUAGGGAAUCUUCCGCAAUGGACGAAAGUCUGACGGAGCAACGCCGCGUGAGUGAUGAAGGUUUUCGGAUCGUAAAGCUCUGUUGUUAGGGAAGAACAAGUACCGUUCGAAUAGGGCGGUACCUUGACGGUACCUAACCAGAAAGCCACGGCUAACUACGUGCCAGCAGCCGCGGUAAUACGUAGGUGGCAAGCGUUGUCCGGAAUUAUUGGGCGUAAAGGGCUCGCAGGCGGUUUCUUAAGUCUGAUGUGAAAGCCCCCGGCUCAACCGGGGAGGGUCAUUGGAAACUGGGGAACUUGAGUGCAGAAGAGGAGAGUGGAAUUCCACGUGUAGCGGUGAAAUGCGUAGAGAUGUGGAGGAACACCAGUGGCGAAGGCGACUCUCUGGUCUGUAACUGACGCUGAGGAGCGAAAGCGUGGGGAGCGAACAGGAUUAGAUACCCUGGUAGUCCACGCCGUAAACGAUGAGUGCUAAGUGUUAGGGGGUUUCCGCCCCUUAGUGCUGCAGCUAACGCAUUAAGCACUCCGCCUGGGGAGUACGGUCGCAAGACUGAAACUCAAAGG
rnacentral:rRNA from 1 species